CUUGUAUCAACUGCAGUAUUUUACACCUAGCGUCCUUUGCCGCUUGUCUCUUACUCUUUCGUUGUCCGCUUUCGUCCGUUUCUUUUGGCUUCGUCUCCUUUGGCUUCGGUUCUUCAAUCUCUGUUUCCUUGAGUUCGAGAGAGCAAACAAGAGAAAGUGGUCUUUCAAUCGUAUGUCCCUUCGUCAAGAUCUUUACUCCUCGCACAACGUUGUCCUUGCCCUUGAUUAGCUCAACAACUUUUCCCCGUUUCCAUUCAGCUCGAUUCUUUUCCUCACCGACCACCAACAUCAUUUCUCCCACUUCUGGACACGCAUUUUCCCC